rnacentral:miRNA from 1 species
AACUUGGUUGCUGUGCAGAAGUAAGAGUCUCCUGAAAUUCAAAUUCAUGAUCACUAGUUUCGGGAGACUCUUACUUCUGCACAGCAACCAAGUU